AGCGUAGGCGGAUUUUUAAGUGAGAUGUGAAAUACUCGGGCUUAACCUGAGUGCUGCAUUUCAAACUGGAAGUCUAGAGUGCAGGAGAGGAGAAGGGAAUUCCUAGUGUAGCGGUGAAAUGCGUAGAGAUUAGGAAGAACACCAGUGGCGAAGGCGCUUCUCUGGACUGUAACUGGCGCUGAGGCUCGAAAGCGUGGGGAGCAAACA
rnacentral:rRNA from 1 species